GACGAACGCUGGCGGCGUGCUUAACACAUGCAAGUCGAACGGUAAGGCCCUUCGGGGUACACGAGUGGCGAACGGGUGAGUAACACGUGGGUGAUCUGCCCUGCACUUCGGGAUAAGCCUGGGAAACUGGGUCUAAUACCGGAUAGGACCACUGCCUGCAUGGGUGGUGGUGGAAAGCUUUUGCGGGGUGGGAUGGGCCCGCGGCCUAUCAGCUUGUUGGUGGGGUGAUGGCCUACCAAGGCGACGACGGGUAGCCGGCCUGAGAGGGUGACCGGCCACACGGGGACUGAGAUACGGCCCAGACUCCUACGGGAGGCAGCAGUGGGGAAUAUUGCACAAGGGGCGCAAGCCUGAUGCAGCGACGCCGCGUGAGGGAUGACGGCCUUCGGGUUGUAAACCUCUUUCAGCACCGACGAAGCGCAAGUGACGGUAGGUGCAGAAGAAGGACCGGCCAACUACGUGCCAGCCGCCGCCGUAA
rnacentral:rRNA from 1 species